rnacentral:rRNA from 1 species
AGAACNUAACNAGGAUUGCCCUAGUAACUGCGAGUGAAGCGUGGAAAAGCUCAAAUUUAAAAUCUGGCGGUCUUUGGCCGUCCGAGUUGUAAUCUGGAGAAGCGUUUUCCGCGUCGGACCGUGUACAAGUCUCUUGGAACAGAGCGUCAUAGAGGGUGAGAAUCCCGUCCAUGACACGGACUACCGAUGCUUUGUGAUACGCUCUCGAAGAGUCGAGUUGUUUGGGAAUGCAGCUCAAAAUGGGUGGUAAAUUCCAUCUAAAGCUAAAUAUUGGCGAGAGACCGAUAGCGAACAAGUACCGUGAGGGAAAGAUGAAAAGCACUUUGGAAAGAGAGUUAAACAGUACGUGAAAUUGUUGAAAGGGAAACGCUUGAAGUCAGUCGCGUCGUUCGGGACUCAGCCUUGCUCUUUUGCUUGGUGUACUUCCCGUCCGACGGGUCAACAUCGAUUUUGGCCGGCGGAUAAAGGCGGGGGGAAUGUGGCACCUUCGGGUGUGUUAUAGCCCUCUGUCGCAUGCGUCGGCUGGGAUCGAGGACCGCAGCGCGCCACUAGGCCGAGAGGUACGCCUCUACGUUCCGCGCUUAGGAUGUUGGCAUAAUGGCUUUAAGCGACCCGUCUUGAAACACGGACCAAGGAGUCUAACAUGCUCGCGAGUGUUAGGGUGGAAAACCCUUGCGCGUAAUGAAAGUGAAAGUUGGGACCCUUGUCAUGAGGGGCACCGACGCCCGGCCCGGACCUUUUGCGAUGGUGCUGCGGUAGAGCGCGUAUGUUGGGACCCGAAAGAUGGUGAACUAUGCCUGAAUAGGGCGAAGCCAGAGGAAACUCUGGUGGAGGCUCGUAGCGAUUCUGACGUGCAAAUCGAUCGUCAAAUUUGGGUAUAGGGGCGAAAGACUAAUCGAACCAUCUAGUAGCUGGUUCCUGCCGAAGUNUUACCCUCAGGAUAGCAGAAACUCGUAUCAGAUUAUAUGUGGUAAAGCGAAUGAUUAGAGGCCUUGGGGUUGAAACAACCUUAACCUAUUCUCAAACUUUAAAUAUGUAAGAACAAGCCGUCUCUUAGUUGGACCGCUUGGCGAUUGAGAGUNUCUAGUGGGCCAUCUUUGGUAAGCAGAACUGGCGAUGCGGGAUGAACCGAACGCGAGGUAAAUGUGCCGGAAUGCACGCUCAUCAGACACCACUAGAGGUGUUAAUUCAUCUAGACAGCUGGACGGUGGCCAUGGAAGUCGGACUCCGCUANGGAGUGUGUAACAUCUCACCUGCCGAAUGAACUAGCNCUGANNANUGGAUGGCGCUCAAGCGUGCUACCNNAUANCGUCGNCGNUCAGCGUUGNANNGUGACGCGCNUGACUA